rnacentral:rRNA from 1 species
UACGAAGGGGGCUAGCGUUGCUCGGAAUUACUGGGCGUAAAGCGCACGUAGGCGGAUCUUUAAGUCAGGGGUGAAAUCCUGGAGCUCAACUCCAGAACUGCCUUUGAUCCUGAGGACCUUGAGUUCGGGAGAGGUGAGUGGAACUGCGAGUGUAGAGGUGAAAUUCGUAGAUAUUCGCAAGAACACCAGUGGCGAAGGCGGCUCACUGGCCCGAUACUGACGCUGAGGUGCGAAAGCGUGGGGAGCAAACAGG